UACGUAGGGGGCAAGCGUUAUCCGGAUUCAUUGGGCGUAAAGCGCGCGUAGGCGGCCGCCUAAGCGGAACCUCUAACCCCGGGGCUCAACCUCGGGCCGGGUUCCGGACUGGGCGGCUCGAGUGCGGUAGAGGAGAGCGGAAUUCCCGGUGUAGCGGUGGAAUGCGCAGAUAUCGGGAAGAACACCGAUGGCGAAGGCAGCUCUCUGGGCCGUCACUGACGCUGAGGCGCGAAAGCUGGGGGAGCGAACAGG
rnacentral:rRNA from 1 species